AAGCAAACAUCCUUGACGAGGCAGAUCAUUAGUGGCUACCAGUCCUCGAGUAAUGACACCUCCAUGGACUGACUAACUGAUUCCAUUCCAUGUCUGUUACAAAAAUGGCGGGAAUAUGCUCUCUGAAUCCAACAACCUUAAUGACUCUUAAGAGAAUUCAUGGAAUUAGAUGCUGCUCAGGAGCAACGGAUAAUGAAAAGAAGAGCCAAACUAGAACUAAAACCCCACAGAUUUUGAAAUUGGCUGUAAGUGGGAUCACAGAGCUUUUAAGGGUUGUCUCCUUCUCAGGCAAA